ensembl:lncRNA
GGUUGGGGCUUUCAUCAAGGUGUUUCUAUAGGUUGGGGGCUUUCAACAAGGUAAGUGUUUCUAUAGGUUGGGGGCUUUCAUCAAGGUGUUUCUAUAGGUUGGGGGCUUUCAACAAGGUUAGUGUUUCUAUAGGUUGGGGGCUUUCAUCAAGGUUAGUGUUUCUAUAGGUUAGGGGCUUUCAUCAAGGUGUUUCUAUAGGUUGGGGGCUUUCAUCAAGGUGUUUCUAUAGGUUGGGGGCUUUCAUCAAGGUGUUUCUAUAGGUUGGGGGCUUUCAUCAAGGUGUUUCUAUAGGUGGGGGCUUUCAACAAGGUUAGUGUUUCUAUAGGUUGGGGGCUUUCAUCAAGGUUAGUGUUUCUAUAGGUUGGGGGCUUUCAUCAAGGUGUUUCUUUAGGUUGGGGGCUUUCAUCAAGGUUAGUGUUUCUAUAGGUUGGGGGCUUUCAUCAAGGUUAGUGUUUCUUUAGGUUGGGGGCUUUCAUCAAGGUUAGUGUUUCUUUAGGUUGGGGGCUUACAUCAAGGUAAGUGUUUCUUUAGGUUAGGGGCUUUCAACAAGGUUAGUGUUUCUUUAGGUUGGGGGCUUUCAUCAAGGUUAGUGUUUCUUUAGGUUGGGGGCUUUCAUCAAGGUUAGUGUUUCUUUAGGUUGGGGGCUUUCAACAAGGUUAGUGUUUCUAUAGGUUAGGGGCUUUCAACAAGGUUAGUGUUUCUAUAGGUUCGGGGCUUUCAUCAAGGUGUUUCUUUAGGUUGGGGGCUUUCAUCAAGGUGUUUCUUUAGGUUGGGGGCUUUCAUCAAGGUUAGUGUUUCUUUAGGUUGGGGGCUUUCAUCAAGGUGUUUCUUUAGGUUGGGGGCUUUCAUCAAGGUUAGUGUUUCUAUAGGUUGGGGGCUUUCAUCAAGGUUAGUGUUUCUUUAGGUUGGG